UUGCUGGAGGUAUCAGAAGUGCGAAUGCUGACAUAAGUAACGAUAAAGCGGGUGAAAAGCCCGCUCGCCGGAAGACCAAGGGUUCCUGUCCAACGUUAAUCGGGGCAGGGUGAGUCGACCCCUAAGGCGAGGCCGAAAGGCGUAGUCGAUGGGAAACGGGUUAAUAUUCCCGUACUUGGUGUUACUGCGAAGGGGGGACGGAGAAGGCUAUGUUGGCCGGGCGACGGUUGUCCCGGUUUAAGCGUGUAGGUGUGUGUUCCAGGUAAAUCCGGUUCACUUUAACACUGAGGCGUGACGACGAGGCACUACGGUGCUGAAGCAACAAAUGCCCUGCUUCCAGGAAAAGCCUCUAAGCAUCAGGUAACAUCAAAUCGUACCCCAAACCGACACAGGUGGUCAGGUAGAGAAUACCAAGGCGCUUGAGAGAACUCGGGUGAAGGAACUAGGCAAAAUGGUGCCGUAACUUCGGGAGAAGGCACGCUGACAUGUAGGUGAAGUGAUUUACUCAUGGAGCUGAAGUCAGUCGAAGAUACCAGCUGGCUGCAACUGUUUAUUAAAAACACAGCACUGUGCAAACACGAAAGUGGACGUAUACGGUGUGACGCCUGCCCGGUGCCGGAAGGUUAAUUGAUGGGGUCAGCGCAAGCGAAGCUCCUGAUCGAAGCCCCGGUAAACGGCGGCCGUAACUAUAACGGUCCUAAGGUAGCGAAAUUCCUUGUCGGGUAAGUUCCGACCUGCACGAAUGGCGUAAUGAUGGCCAGGCUGUCUCCACCCGAGACUCAGUGAAAUUGAACUCGCUGUGAAGAUGCAGUGUACCCGCGGCAAGACGGAAAGACCCCGUGAACCUUUACUAUAGCUUGACACUGAACAUUGAGCCUUGAUGUGUAGGAUAGGUGGGAGGCUUUGAAGUGUGGACGCCAGUCUGCAUGGAGCCGACCUUGAAAUACCACCCUUUAAUGUUUGAUGUUCUAACGUGGACCCGUUACCCGGGUUGCGGACAGUGUCUGGUGGGUAGUUUGACUGGGGCGGUCUCCUCCUAAAGAGUAACGGAGGAGCACGAAGGUUGGCUAAUCCUGGUCGGACAUCAGGAGGUUAGUGCAAUGGCAUAAGCCAGCUUGACUGCGAGCGUGACGGCGCGAGCAGGUGCGAAAGCAGGUCAUAGUGAUCCGGUGGUUCUGAAUGGAAGGGCCAUCGCUCAACGGAUAAAAGGUACUCCGGGGAUAACAGGCUGAUACCGCCCAAGAGUUCAUAUCGACGGCGGUGUUUGGCACCUCGAUGUCGGCUCAUCACAUCCUGGGGCUGAAGUAGGUCCCAAGGGUAUGGCUGUUCGCCAUUUAAAGUGGUACGCGAGCUGGGUUUAGAACGUCGUGAGACAGUUCGGUCCCUAUCUGCCGUGGGCGCUGGAGAACUGAGGGGGGCUGCUCCUAGUACGAGAGGACCGGAGUGGACGCAUCACUGGUGUUCGGGUUGUCAUGCCAAUGGCACUGCCCGGUAGCUAAAUGCGGAAGAGAUAAGUGCUGAAAGCAUCUAAGCACGAAACUUGCCCCGAGAUGAGUUCUCCCUGAGACUUAGAGUCUCCUGAAGGAACGUUGAAGACGACGACGUUGAUAGGCCGGGUGUGUAAGCGCAGCGAUGCGUUGAGCUAACCGGUACUAAUGAACCGUGAGGCUUAACCUUAC
rnacentral:rRNA from 1 species